UACCCAGAAUGCCCUGCGCUGUGCACUUCCUGCUUUUGGAGCGGUCUCCGGGCCGCUUGGCGUUCACAUAUGCAUGUGGGCAGCAUCAGAGUCGUGUUGCCAGGUUGGGCUGCUUUUCACAUCAUUUUUUGAGAUUUAAAUAAAAAUUCUUUCUAAAUAGUUUGCAAAAAAAGCACAAAACGUCUAAAAAAUGCAGUGUUACUACAUUUAUUUGAUUAGUUUAUUUAUCUAUGGAAAUCCCAGGGUAACAUCUUAAUUUAAGAGAACAAAAACUCAAGUCUCAUUUUGUUCAGAGAUUCAAGUUCUUUGCAGUCCCAGUGGGAAAUGGUUCUGGUCAGAAUACAGAACAAACAAAACGUACGUGAAUCACAGUCGAUUACAUGUGGGACUAUCAACAAGGGUUUUAUUUUUGGGCUGGUUUUAGUUUUUUGACGGGUUUUAUGUUAUUUUUGGCUGGAGACGUUCAGUCAGAUCUGACAACCCCGCAGUUUAUUUCAACCAAACAGAAACCGAGGUCUGGAAGUGGACCGGAGUUCAGUUACAUAUUCAUACCUUCACAAACGAACCGGACUUUCUAGACAAGAGGACUGGAGUUGGAUUAAAACGGACUGAGUUGGAUUUAAAAAGCCCGAUGUGAAAUUAUUCCCGGCUGUUCUCUCAUUCUCUGAAGCAGGAAGUAAAUCCUCCUCCUUGGUAUUUGACUGUAUGUCAGUAUUUGUGGCCCUGGAGGCACCAACAGCAGCCUGAACCCGUUAGCCCUGGUAUCGUUGCCGUCGUUCUCCAGGGUUCAUCUCCACUCAGCAGAUCAGACGCAGAAACAGGCCGAGACAGUUUGGGAGCUGAGGAGAGCCAGGAGGAGUCGCUCCGCGCCAAGCUAAAUAUAGCGCUCUGCUAAUCUAAUUACCAUCCAACAUUUCCUUUGAGGUGGAGAUCAGUGGCUCAGAGCAGCUGUCAUGUCAGAACGUCUCCUCCUCAGCUGCAGCAUCCAAACAGCAUACUCUCAUACUUUGUAGCUUCUUACACUAAUCACUUGAUGCCAGCUGAUCUCCAGAGGAAAUCCUUUGUGAUUUUGUUUGUUUUUAAAGUGCAAUAAAAACUUUGAUUGGUGUUUUAGUGGCUGAAACAUUUUAUCUAAACAAAUGCUUUAAAAGUGAUAAAUUAAUUGAUUUUAAAGGUUUAAAAACAGAGAAGAUCUGUUGAUUUUUGGGCAUUCAACAAUCAAUUGUUCAUUCUGUACCCAGAAUGCAUUGCUGCUGAUCUCCUGCAUGCUUUGUGGCUAAUGAAACAAAACCAUUAACAGAGUUAUUAAUAUUCAUCUAUAAAACUGAAACUCAGUGAAAGUUCUGUUCUGGAGACCGACUUCCUGAAGUUAAAUCUGAUCUGUAGUAGCAACUGUGAUCCUGUUGAGGGCGAUAUAACACGUUGUGUCAACACUAAGUAAUGUUUAUGAUUAGGGCUUGUGGGUUAGCGCAGCUAGCUUCUUAGCUAGUGGCGUUCACCACUGGAUUUAGCAGAUCAUGGUGAAAACUUGGACCAGUAUAAAUAUUGCUUUUAUGGAUAUUUACCAGUAUUACAUACACUGGUUCUCUGGUUCAGUUAAACACUCCAGUCAAUGUCACAUGACCAGACAGGCACUACAUGACUGACCCUAAUCAUAAACAUUAGCUAUGCUAGCGCUAAAGCGCUACACCAAGACAUUUUGUAGAAGCUAACGCGCUAAAUUCAUCGCUGUCACAUGUCCUUAAAGGGCCUCACUACCUGAAGUAGCACAGACAUUGAACUUUAUUCUACUGAAAGUUUAAAAACCUCAAAGUAAAUUAGCACUAAGUGCGCUAGGUGUUUUCAACUGAAAAAUUAGCUCCACUUUUAGCUAAUUAGCGGAAGUGUGCCCACCACAGGCAAGAGGAAAGUGAAACGCCUGCUGUACUUCUGAAGCUCCGUGUGUUUCCCUCUCAGGACUUGUUUUGGUCCUAAAUAACUAACGUCCCAGUGGAAAGAUGUCCGACUUCGGUCUGAACGUCCUCCAGCUCAGGAAGCACAUAUUUGUUUGGAUCUCCUGUAACUCAAUAAUCACUCGUCAUGUGACACCGCAGAGGGAGGGUAAGUAUAGAAAGUUCGAGCAAAACAAAAACGAGGAGACGACAGCAUGACGACACCCGACUGCCAAGGAAGAGUCACCGCAGAGCCGCCGUCUUCAUCUGAAUCCGCAUUCAGAGCCCGGCUCAUUAGGUGCUGAGCUUUCAGCUUCUCAGGAUCAAUGAUGGAGGAAAAUAUAAAUGUGAUGCUUCCAGUUUAGCUUCUGUUCAGGGAGUUUAAUAUUUGGUUGAAGGUAGAAAUGUUACGGUCAUGUUUAGCACCAACUGACAUGAGUUAUUGCUGCCAUGCCUGCCAUGCCAGGCCAUUAAAGGGCUUCACAGCGGCCGAGGCGCGGAUCAUCUCCUGUUUCUGCAGCUUCUGAUGAUUGACAAGCUUUAAAGAGAGAAGAGCUUCGCUCAGGGUGUCACAUUUACGGUGGGUUGCUGUGUUUUUGUGGCUGAAGUUCCUCAGGGUUCUGGUCUGAGUCUCCUUAAUUUACUUGUAGUUGACAGUUCACUGCAGAGCUGAUGAUUGAUUUGAGAUUUAGUGCUUUAGAGCAACCGCAGCAGAACAGAGAGCGUAUUUCAACCAUCAGGAGGUCCAAUCGCUCAGCCUGUUCACUCUGGGAUGUCAGGACGGCCGAUUCCCCAGCACAAGAAGUGGCUUCACCUGGUGGACCUGCUGAAGGGGGAAGUCUGUCUGUCUGUCUGUCUGUCUGUCUGUCUGUCUGUCUGUCUGUCUGUCUGUCUGUCUGUCCGUCCGUCCGUCCGUCCGUCCGUCCGUCCGUCCGUCCGUCCGUCCGUCUGUUUGUUUCUCUCCUCACCCCAAAGGCAUUUUCAGGGGAUUCCUGCAGGAAUUUCUGUCAUUACUCAGCAGCUGUGAUCAUUUCCAGCUCAGGUUGGACUGGACCGGGACGCUCAGUGUCUCUCAUCCUGUUGGUCCUCCAGCAGGACAGGAAGUUGCCUGUACAGGUUGUCUGGUUCUCUUUUCAGAGAGUCUUCAGCCUAUAAAGUCUGAACUAGUGGCUCAGUCUGAAACGGUUGACAUGAGAGUCUCAGCUGGAAACGUUCUUCAUCACCAGGUCCGUCUUCUCAUCUGAUCAAGUUUGAAUCAUGACCUAGAAAACAGAUUCCUGCUCACAAGCAGCUGAGAUGAGCCUCUUCAAGGCGCCUGAAGCCAAAGUCACGUCUCACUCUAGGCGGUUCAUGUCAAGCCAAGUUGUGUGUCUUCAUUGACAGAGUGUGAAUAUUGACAGGAAGGUGGAGCUGCAGUCAUUCACCUCCAUGUGUAGCUUUGAGUCUCAGUUUCUCUGAAAUCUCUCUUCUGCCAUAGUUGAUAAAAACAUUUAAACCUCCAGUCUGGGACUGAAAACGUGGUUCUGACAAUAUUCAAGGAGUUUUAAAGUUCUGCGUUUGCUCAUCCAGAGACGUAAAUCCAUGGAGCAGUCAACGAAUGCCGUCUGCUGCCGAUCAAAUCGCCUCUGCACAAUUUGUCUCGUCUCUAAGGCGCUUCCAAAACCCGGAGAGGAUAAGGCGAGGCUCUCCAUCGUCUGGGAGGAGCUGAGAGUAAAACCGCUGCCUGUUGAUCUUGUGUGGAUCUCGUGACCCGACCUGCCAGCGUUGCCUCUUACCCAGAGGAAUCUUCUCCAG